AUCGUUCAUCUCUAUUCAAGCAGAGACGGAAGUAGGGAAAGUUCCCGAAGGAACGCGCC
ncrna:Cyanothece sp. PCC 7424 Glutamine riboswitch